rnacentral:rRNA from 1 species
GAUGAACGCUGGCGGCGUGCCUAAUACAUGCAAGUCGAGCGAACAGACGAGGAGCUUGCUCCUCUGACGUUAGCGGCGGACGGGUGAGUAACACGUGGAUAACCUACCUAUAAGACUGGGAUAACUUCGGGAAACCGGAGCUAAUACCGGAUAAUAUAUUGAACCGCAUGGUUCAAUAGUGAAAGACGGUUUUGCUGUCACUUAUAGAUGGAUCCGCGCCGCAUUAGCUAGUUGGUAAGGUAACGGCUUACCAAGGCGACGAUGCGUAGCCGACCUGAGAGGGUGGUCGGCCACAUGGGAACUGAGACACGGUCCAGACUCCUACGGGAGGGAGCAGUAGGGAAUCUUCCGCAAUGGGCGAAAGCCUGACGGAGCGACGCCGCGUGAGUGAUGAAGGUCUUCGGAUCGUAAAACUCUGUUAUUAGGGAAGAACAAAUGUGUAAGUAACUAUGCACGUCUUGACGGUACCUAAUCAGAAAGCCACGGCUAACUACGUG